UGAAAUGCGCAGAUAUCAGGAGGAACACCGAUGGCGAAGGCAGGUCUCUGGGCUGUUUCUGACGCUGAGAAGCGAAAGCAUGGGUAGCGAACAGGAUUAGAUACCCUGGUAGUCCAUGCCGUAAACGUUGGGCACUAGGUGUGGGGGGCGUUCCUCGUCGUCCGCGCCGUAGCUAACGCAUUAAGUGCCCCGCCUGGGGAGUACGGCCGCAAGGCUAAAACUCAAAGGAAUUGACGGGGGCCCGCACAAGCGGCGGAGCAUGCGGAUUAAUUCGAUGCAACGCGAAGAACCUUACCAAGGCUUGACAUACACCGGAUCGCGCUGGAGACAGUGUUUCCCUUCGGGGCUGGUGUACAGGUGGUGCAUGGUUGUCGUCAGCUCGUGUCGUGAGAUGUUGGGUUAAGUCCCGCAACGAGCGCAACCCUUGUCCUAUGUUGCCAGCACGUAGUGGUGGGGACUCAUGGGAGACUGCCGGGGUCAACUCGGAGGAAGGUGGGGAUGACGUCAAAUCAUCAUGCCCCUUAUGUCUUGGGCUUCACGCAUGCUACAAUGGCUGGUACAGUGGGUUGCGAUACCGUGAGGUGGAGCUAAUCCCAUAAAGCUGGUCUCAGUUCGGAUCGAAGUCUGCAACUCGACUUCGUGAAGUUGGAGUCGCUAGUAAUCGCAGAUCAGCAGUGCUGCGGUGAAUACGUUCCCGGGCCUUGUACACACCGCCCGUCAAGUCACGAAAGUUGGUAACACCCGAAGCUC
rnacentral:rRNA from 1 species